CCAGGGUAAAUCUUGGCACCGCUGAAGCGACAAAGCUCAGUCCUAAUAUGCGAAAACCAGGUAUAAAAUUACACAUAAAAACUUUCUAAUAUAAGUAUAAAACGAAACAUAACUAUGCCAAUUAAACCAAACUCAAGAUGAUACAGGACAAUAGUGUACAGAUUUAAGUGCGCCAAUGGGUAAAAAAGAAUAAUUCAGCAGCCAAACUGAU
rnacentral:misc_RNA from 1 species